UUUCAGAGCAUUUGCUUGUUUCUUAUUUUUUACUUUUCUUAAAUUGUUAGUAUAAAUCAAUGUUUAGUUAAAUUAUGGUGCAAGAGUUUCAUAUAUGUUUUGUUCCAUUUGAAUGUUAGAUACUUUUGCAAAUUUGAAAUCGACCAUAGCUUUAAAUUUGUUUAUUGUAAUAAGCUUGCUUGAAAGUUUACAUCGUUACAUGAACUAUUACAUGAUGAUGUUAUUUUAUUAGUUUUCAGAGCAUUUGCUUGUCUCUUAUUUUUCACUAUUCUUAAAUUGUUGGUAUAAAUCAAUGUUUAGAUAAAUUAUGGCGCAGGAGUUUCAUAUAUGUUUUGUUCGAUUUGAAUGUAAGAUACUUUUGCAAAUUUGAAACCGACCAUAGCUUUAAAUCUGUUUAUAGUAAUAAGCUUGCUUGAAAAAGUAAAGUUCUUGCCAUAUUUUUGUUGGCGGCCAUAUGCUCUUGGUCACGUUUGAUUGGUCAAAGCUUGUGUGACUAUAUCCACCAAUUUAAUAAAACAGAAUUGUUUACUAUUUGUAGGAGGAUCGGAAAAUGGCUUCUCGUUUGGCAAAUACCAUGUCCAACUCACUGAAAGGGAGACCUGUUCAGGGUGGAUUGAGUUCUGGUUAUAAAAAAAAUGUUGCAGAGAAAGGUUUGACUGAUGAAACUUACACAGCAGAAAGUAUCACUUUGAUUAGGAUUUCUGGAACUUCCAUUCAUAAUAAUAAAGUAGUGCAAGUUGAUGCGCAUCACUGAACUCUGCUGAUUGUUCCCUCAUGCAUGUUUGAACAACAACAGUUGGCCUCGAAAGUUGCAGAGUUUAUGAAGGUAUACUUCUAGGCAAACGUUAAUGACAUGAUUUAAAUAAUUGAGCAGAUAUCAAUUUGAUAGGAAUCAUACAAUUUUAGGUCUUCUUACAGCUUGAGCAGUAUUGAAACAUAAGUUUCUAGAGUUUCUUCAUAUAUUGAUGAUAUAUCAAUUUAAUUAUUUGUUUAUUCCUACUUAUUCAGCCAGGAGUUACUUUAAAACAUACUAAAGAAGGAACUGAAAGCUCAACUUUCUGGUUUAUAUUGAAUUUGUUAUGAUUGUUAAACUAGAGUCAAAUAUAGUAUGAUAUUAAUUGUAACUCUUUGUACCUCAAUGGCUAGCUUGUUUUUUAUACUUAUAUAAAUACUAACUAUGUAUUCUUGAUUCAUAAUAAAAACUUUUUUUAAUUCUUUUUUUCUUUAAGUUUCCUUUAUAGUAUAGUGGUGUUUGCUUUAAUGUAAUAUAAUGUAAUGAGAAUGGUAAUUAUAAUAUGAAUGAUAAUGUAAUGGAAUAAGAAUUGUAAUAAGAAUAAUAUUUUGAUGAUUGGUUUAACUAAUAAACAUUGUAAUCAAAUAAAAUAAGUUGUAUAUUGACAAAAAUACUUUUAAUUUUAUUAUUUUUAAUAUUUAAAAUUUAAAUUAAAGUAACAAAAAAAGACAAAAGAAA